rnacentral:lncRNA from 1 species
GGAAAAGAAUAGAUAAAGUGCUCGGUGAGGAUUAGGGCUAUCAUUCCUACGUAUCCUCAUAAUGCAAUGAGGAAUUCAGAGCUCCGUAGUUCAAAGAACCAGUGGUGGGAGGUGAAAGGAAUUGUGAUAACAUUAUGGUCUGAACCAAAAAAUAGUGUUUUUUGAACUCCAAAAAGGGAGAAAACGUGAAUCCAAGAGUAAAACUGGUAUAAACCAACAAGUGAGGGGCCCG